rnacentral:lncRNA from 1 species
CCCGGGUCCCGGCUCGGCGCGGGAGCAGGGUCGGUGACACCCAGCCCCGGGCGUCCUCGUCCCCAGAGUGAUCUGCGAGCGGCGUCGCUGCCUGACAGCUGCCCGUGGGGCUGGGUGGGCUGCCCCACCCCCGCGCCAUCCACCAGCCAGACCUGGGAGCCAGCUCCACGGGAAAACCUUUGCUUUAAAAAAAAAAAAAAAAAAAGGCAGGAGAUGGCUAUCUUCCGUUUAAGUUACUUCAGACCUGGGCUUCCUAUGGGGACAGUUUUUACACCCGGUCACAGGAUAUAAAUAGCUACAGGGAGAAAACGAGAGUUUUAUGGUUUGAGAGCCUGAAUAAAUAAGCAGGGUUUUCUCUUUCCACGUUUUCCGCAGCGCGAAUCGUCAUUUAAACUUCGCUGAAGUGACCACGUUCGUUCACUUGGCACUACAAGCAUGAGCCCCCGGCAUAUCUGCAAAACCAGAGGUGGGAAUCAGGGGUGACCUUCUGGGACAGGAACCCGGCGAAGCCAGGGCUUACUGCGGGGCUGAACCUUUGAGGCCAGAGACGCUCGGACCUGCUCCUUCCCUGCCUUUCAAGAUGUACCACAGACUGAAGCUAACCUACAGGGCACAACGGUGAUCAGAGUUACUUAGUAGAAGGACAGGAGGGGGUCACCCAACACAAAGGUCACCUUCCCUACCCACUGGAACCCCAAGCUUGCAGCCACUUGCUAGAAGGUGCCCCCUCUUUGUAGGGUCAGGACCUAUGGAAAGGGAGCCCACAGCCUCUAGAGCAGGCCUGGUAAGGCAAGCUGGGAUCCCAUGGCUCUCAGCUCUCAGCUACUAUGUUGCAUCCAGGGCAGCUUGCCUGCCUCACCCUAGUCUAGGCCCUGAUCCAGGGUGCCCUCCCCCACCCCACCAGCCAUGGAAAGGGAGCAUGGGCUUGGGAAGAAGGAAGCUGAGGUUCACGGGUUUAUUUGAACUCCCUUCUACUGCCUACCCCACCCUACCAGUCAGCCCUGAAACCUUGCUAGAUUGUAACUUCGGGUGCCUCAGUGAACCUUCCAAUUGGUUAUUUGAUUGGUUUGUUGGUUGGGUGUUAUUAUUUGAGACAGUUUCUCCUUUAACCCAGGCAGGUCUUGAACUCCCUACAUAGCUGAGGAUGACUCUGCAUCUACCGCCCGUACUGGGAUUACAGUUAUGUGUUGCCAUGCCUGGCUUAAUUUAUAGUGUUGUUUUUUGUUUGUUUGUUUUUUGGGUUUUUUGGGGGG